GAUGAAGAACGUAGCGAAAUGCGAUAAGUAAUGUGAAUUGCAGAAUUCAGUGAAUCAUCGAAUCUUUGAACGCACAUUGCGCCCGCCAGUAUUCUGGCGGGCAUGCCUGUUCGAGCGUCAUUACAACCCUCAGGCCCCCGGGCCUGGCGUUGGGGAUCGCCGGAGCCCCCCGUGGGCACACGCCGUCCCCCAAAUACAGUGGCGGUCCCGCCGCAGCUUCCAUCGCGUAGUAGCUAACACCUCGCGACUGGAGAGCGGCGCGGCCACGCCGUAAAACACCCAACUCUUCUGAAGUUGACCUCGAAUCAGGUAGGAAUACCCGCUGAACUUAAGCAUAUCAAUAAGCGGAGGA
rnacentral:misc_RNA from 1 species